AUAAACGCAAGAAUAUUUACUUCCAUAAUCUCAUCGUUUCUUUUUCUUUACUUCGUAAUAACUCGGGAUUUAAUCCCAUAGAGAUAAUAAAUAAAAAAUCUUUCGCCUCUAAAUUCAAUGGGAUGAAUUCCAUCUCGAAGAUAUCGAGUCUGAUCAAUAUCAUGAAUAACAAUAUUUGAGUUAUCAAAUCGAUUCAUCGUCGAGAAUUGAAUAGUAUAACAUAGAAAGAUCGUUUAUCCAUAUUGAAUUCAAAAAUGGCUGGAUUCUUGAUUCAAUUGAUAAUUCUUUUUUCCAUUACUUUUUUUUUUAUUUGAUAUUUAUUUUAUUAAUAUCCCCAUUCUUUGGUAAUGGAAUGCAUAGAAUAUAUUAAAAAUAAAAAAACUUCAGUGCGCAAUUUGAAUGAGAUAGAUUGUUUCAAAUUCAAAUUUGUAAUUGAGAUUACACAAAAUUGGAGCAAAAAAAAAAGAGACUUUUCAGAUAAAGAUUAAAAGGAUUCUAUCAAAGCAAUUAAAUUGAUUUUGUAUCGUACAUACAUACAUACAAAUAAAUAAAAAUUCCAUUUGUGUAUGCGUUACCGGAAAAGAUAUGGUACUUGAUUCGAUUUCAUUAUAUGGGUCGGGAGUAAUCAAAAAAUCCAAAUUCAGUAUAGUAUCUUUUUGAAUCUUGGAUAUAACGUUACCAAUAAUUGUACUAAUCCACAUAUGUCCCUAUCAAUCAGUACUGGUU
rnacentral:lncRNA from 1 species